AUAUCUUUCUCGGCCGUUUGGCUAAGAUAAAGUGGAGUAUCUGUAGUUCAAUAUCUGAUAUAUGGGUCAUAUUUCCACUUUAAUUUUAAAUUUAUUUUUUAUGGAGAGGGUCCAUCACACUUACUAACCACUAACUCUCAGGUGUCAUCGUGCGUCACACGUGAAGCACAUAGAGUAUAUCUAUU
rnacentral:snRNA from 1 species